rnacentral:rRNA from 1 species
UACGGGGGGGGCAAGCGUUGUUCGGAAUUACUGGGCGUAAAGGGCGCGUAGGCGGCCUGCUAAGUCGGAUGUGAAAUCCCUCGGCUCAACCGGGGAACUGCGUCCGAUACUGGUGGGCUCGAAUCCGGGAGAGGGAUGUGGAAUUCCAGGUGUAGCGGUGAAAUGCGUAGAUAUCUGGAGGAACACCGGUGGCGAAGGCGGCAUCCUGGACCGGUAUUGACGCUGAUGCGCGAAAGCCAGGGGAGCAAACGGG